rnacentral:rRNA from 1 species
GACGAACGCUGGCGGCGUGGAUUAGGCAUGCAAGUCGAACGGUAUCAUCCUUUCGGGGGUGAGAGAGUGGCGAACUGGUGAGUAACACGUAGGUUAUCUACCCUCAAGACGGGGACAACCCAGGGAAACUUGGGCUAAUACCGGAUGUGAGCAACUUUUAGUUGUUUGAAAGGUGGCGUAAGCUGUCGCUUGGGGAUGAGCCUGCGUCCUAUUAGUUAGUUGGUGAGGUAACGGCUCACCUAGGCAAUGAUAGGUAGGCGGCCUUAACGGGUGGUCGCCCACACUGGGAUUGAGAUACGGCCCAGACUCCUACGGGAGGCAGCAGUCGAGAAUAGUCUACAAUGGUCGGAAGACUGAUAGUGCGACGCCGCGUGAACGAGGGAGCCCUUCGGGUGUAAAGUUCUUUUCUAUACGAGCAGUGCUAUAUAUAUGGAUAGUAUAUAUAGAGGGAUAGUAGUAUAGGAAUAAGCAACGGCUAACUACCGUGCCAGCAGCCGCGGUAAAGUCACG